GGAAGAUUACCAGAAAUGGUCUCGUCCGCAAGGACUUCUGUAUAGGUGCUGCAUGGCUGUCGUCAGCUCGUGCCGUGAGGUGUUUGGUUAAGUCCAGCAACGAGCGCAACCCUUAUCAUUAGUUGCCAACACGUAAGGUGGGGACUCUAAUGAGACUGCCUAGGUUAACUAGGAGGAAGGCGAGGAUGACGUCAAGUCCGCAUGGCCUUUAUGUCCAGGGCUACACACGUGCUACAAUGGUCGGUACAGAGGGCUGCAAGACCGUAAGGUGGAGCAAAUCCCAGAAAGCCGAUCUCAGUUCAGAUUGUGGACUGCAACUCGUCCACAUGAAGUCGGAAUUGCUAGUAAUGGCGCGUCAGCAACAGCGCCGUGAAUACGUUCCCGGGCCUU
rnacentral:rRNA from 1 species